GAUGUCUAUGCAUUGAAAUUGACUAUUUAAAUCCAGUUGAUUUAAUAAAUGCUGAAAACUGUAAAUGCACUGAGAAUUACAACUCUGGUUUGUCUCGUCAAACGCUAGUUUUGACAUAAAAAAGUUGUUUAGGAAUCGUGACAUGUGACUCCCCUCCAAUUGCGAUUUUUGCUCACUGAACAUACGCCUUAAUGGAUACACUAUCAUUUGUGAAACACCCUGUGAUAAUAAGUCAAAAUUUCCAGAGGUGUUUGAUUUUUGCAGUCUUCAUUUCAUACUACGUGAGAAAAACUUGUAUACAUCUUCACGAAUUUUUUUCCUCGAAUUGAAUAGGAAAAAAUGUAAGUGAAAAAAAAAACAAUAAAUAACAUAAAUAAAGUGAACUUUUCAAAAAAAUAUAAAGAAAAAAUAAAAAAAAUAUUAAGUAGGAAAAAAGAAUUAAAUGGAAUAAAAUCCUAAUAAACAUUUGAAUUAUAAUGAAAUGCAAAAUAAGCAGGCUAUUGAUAAAAGUGAAUGAAUUUUUUUAAGGAAAAUGAAAACAUAGUUUUCACAAAAAAAGUAAACCUCAAAUACUGAGAAAGAAUAGUGACAAGUGAAAUAGAGAAGAAAAUCAAAAUAUAGCUAAAAAGUGAUUGAAAUUACGCCUUAAGUUGUACAAAAUAAAAAACAAAUUGUGUGUAAAAUUAAUCGAGUAACACGUUAGCAAAUGCCAUUUGCUAAAUGAAAUUAAAACAAAUGGCUUGAAUUUCCAACAUAUUUCCAAAACAAACCGAAAAUGGGGGCUUUAUGUGAUUAUUCCAUGAACAAAAAAUCAAUUCUCUUAACAUAAAUAUUACAAUCUAGUAAUUUCCCCCGCCAUCAACAAUUGUCGCGCAAAUCUCUGUCGUUUUAAUUCUAGAUGUAGAUGAGAAAUAAGCUAAGCUGUGUAAACGGUAGACGAAUGACAGACCUACAGACAGACAGACGGCCAUACCAUCAACCUACCUAUGGUUAUUUCAUUUUGUUGAAUGUGAUGGCAGCAUGCUUUGUGUGAAUAUUCAAGCACUUUCUGUCCAAUAUUUAUAUGUUUUUCUCUUUUUAAUAUUUCGUAGAAGCAAAUAAAGAAUAGAAUGGGUAGUGUGCAAUUUUUUUAUGUGUGUUUUUGAUCGAAAGCAAAAGUUUGUAAAACUGGUUACUUUUUCUUCUGUUUGUGUGUGUGUGUCUGCGACGAGUCGCGUUUUCUGCUUCUUUUUCUUGUUUCUAGUUUGACUGGGGGUUGCCAAAUAUUGGCAAAUAUAGUAGAUUUACAGGUAGUUAGAAAGCUCUGCAUAUGAUUAAAUUGUGAGUAGAGGGGACACUGAUUACGAUAAAUUGAGUCGAGUGAUAGUCGAUAUGAACUUCUAAUCGGUAAUUAUAUUUUAAAUAAAUAUUAUUUUAUUAUAAAGGUGGGCUUCUUUAGAAGAUAUAGGAUAUCUAAAUAUGUGGUGUACUUUUGAUUGCCUUGUAGUGAAUACCAAUAAUAUGCAGAAAUAAGAAUAUACAUCAAAAUCAUCGCCGAGAUCCAAAAUUUGUACAGCUUGAAAGAAAAAAAUGUUUUUUUUUUAUCCAUUUUUUAGUUGUGACAAAUAAUGACAUAAUUCCUUCUAUGGUACACCUGCAACAUUCGUGGGCAGGAACCUACAUAGAUUGAUACGGAUAAACAAAACAGCUAUUGAAAGUUUGCAUAGCCGAAUUAAUAAAAGAUGCAAGAAUAUAUAUAGGUAUAGCACAAUUGAAAUAGACAAGCGUGUUUGCAUCACAUCACACCAGCAAAAUACAUACAUAAAUAUUUGUCAUCAAAAGGCAUGCAUGAUGACGGCUGGCGGCCAUGGUUUAGUGCCGGUUGCGCUGCAUCUGUAGUAGCUGACCUGAUCAAUUUAUUGCCGGCCCCAAGAAGAUGAUCACGACAAACGAUAAUACGUUUAUUUGUAUAUUCAUUUUCUUUAUGUGUAAAAUAAUUUUUCUGCUAUUGCUUUUCUUUCUCUCCCCACAUUUGUGAUUUUUAUUAUAAUGUUCUAUUUGAUUAAAAUGUGGACCACUAUCGCCAACUGUAAACAUUUUACUAGUGGGGUAGGCUAGUGUUUAUAGCUAGGUAACAAGCUCGCCGUCUCAUCCGAACAUCAGCGCGUUGAUGAUUGCUAUAAAAAAAAAUUAAUAAUACAAAUUGCAGCUUGUUUACCGUUUGAUUUAAAAUCUGACCGCGCACGCACAUACACACAUCGCGUGUGCGUGCUAUUAUGCUUGGCAAUUGGUGGC